UCUUGGUCAUUUAGAGGAAGUAAAAGUCGUAACAAGGUUUCCGUAGGUGAACCUGCGGAAGGAUCAUUAUCAUGUCACUCAGUCAUGCUGCCGCGUGAACUGUACAAACCCACUCUGCGUACCUCUCCUGUUGCUUCCGCUGGGCCUGGAGCAUUUUCAGAUGAGUUGUCUCCCGCACAGUCAAUUUGCUGCGUGGGGUUGGUAACUCUCAAGUGACUGCUCUGGAUUCACAUGCCCAGCGGGAGGAUACUUAAUUUCUGGAUUUACCAUUCCAUCUGUCUGAACAAUGAACCAAAAAAAAAUUGUUAAAACUUUCAGCAACGGAUCUCUUGGUUCUCGCAUCGAUGAAGAACGCAGCGAAAUGCGAUAAGUAGUGUGAAUUGCAGAAUUCAGUGAAUCAUCGAAUCUUUGAACGCACAUUGCGCCUUUCGGCAUUCCGGAGGGCAUGCCUGUUCGAGAGUCAUUAACAACCAGUUCAAUCCCUCUUUGAAAAUAUUUGGGGGAUUGGUUAUUGGUGAAUGAGGGGAUGCGUGCAUCACGUUGAAUCACCUCACCACCGAAAUUCAGAGGCGGUUUGUCCCCACGUGUUUGUGGCGUUGUAAAGGCUUACCAGCACUAUUCGCUCGCAUCGUGGGUGCACUGCUUGCCAUUGGAGAAAUCCCCAUUCAUCAAAGGUUGACCUCGGAUCAGGUAGGGAUACCCGCUGAACUUAAGCAUAUCAAUUAAGCGGAGGAA
rnacentral:rRNA from 1 species